CAGUAGCCACGGUAAUACGUAGGUGGCAAGCGUUGUCCGGAAUUAUUGGGCGUAAAGGGCUCGCAGGCGGUUUCUUAAGUCUGAUGUGAAAGCCCCCGGUUCAACCGGGGAGGGUCAUUGGAAACUGGGAAACUCGAGUGCAGAAGAGGAGAGUGGAAUUCCACGUGUAGCGGUGAAAUGCGUAGAGAUGUGGAGGAACACCAGUGGCGAAGGCGACUCUCUGGUCUGUAACUGACGCUGAGGAGCGAAAGCGUGGGGAGCGAACAGGAUUAGAUACCCCAGUAGUCCCUGUCUCUUAUGC
rnacentral:rRNA from 1 species